rnacentral:rRNA from 1 species
GACAGAGGGGGCAAGCGUUGUCCGGAUUUAUUGGGUUUAAAGGGUGCGUAGGUGGCUAACUAAGUCAGUGGUGAAAUAUCUCAGCUUAACUGAGAGGGUGCCAUUGAUACUGGAUAGCUUGAGUACAGAUGAGGUAGGCGGAAUUGACGGUGUAGCGGUGAAAUGCAUAGAUAUCGUCAAGAACACCGAUAGCGAAGGCAGCUUACCAAGCUGUAACUGACACUGAGGCACGAAAGUGUGGGGAUCAAACAGG